GUGGGGAAUAUUGGACAAUGGGCGAAAGCCUGAUCCAGCUAUGCCGCGUGGGUGAAGAAGGCCUUCGGGUUGUAAAGCCCUGUCGGGAGGGAAGAAAAAAAUGACGGUACCUCGCAAGAAAGCACCGGCUAACUCCGUGCCAGCAGCCGCGGUAAUACGGAGGGUGCAAGCGUUGCUCGGAAUCACUGGGCGUAAAGCGACCGCAGGCGGUCUGACAAGUCGGAUGUGAAAGCCCUGGGCUCAACCCAGGAACUGCAUUCGAAACUGGCAGACUUGAGUACGGGAGAGGGGGGUGGAAUUCCUGGUGUAGGGGUGAAAUUCGUUGAUAUCAGGAGGAACACCGGCGGCGAAGGCGGCCCCCUGGCCCGCAACUGACGCUCAUGGUCGAAAGCGUGGGGAGCAAACAGGAUUAGAUACCCGGGUAGUCC
rnacentral:rRNA from 1 species